GGGGGAUAACUACUCGAAAGAUUAGCUAAUACCGCAUACGACCUGAGGGUGAAAGUGGGGGACCGCCAGGCCUCAUGCUAUAGGAGCGGCCGAUGUCUGAUUAGCUAGUUGGUGAGGUAAAGGCUCACCAAGGCGACGAUCAGUAGCUGGUCUGAGAGGACGAUCAGCCACACUGGGACUGAGACACGGCCCAUACUCCUACGGGAGGCAGCAGUGGGGAAUUUUGGACAAUGGGCGAAAGCCUGAUCCAGCAAUGCCGCGUGUGUGAAGAAGGCCUUCGGGUUGUAAAGCACUUUUGUCCGGAAAGAAAUGGCUCUGGUUAAUACCUGGGGUCGAUGACGGUACCGGAAGAAUAAGGACCGGCUAACUACGUGCCAGCAGCCGCGGUAAUACGUAGGGUCCAAGCGUUAAUCGGAAUUACUGGGCGUAAAGCGUGCGCAGGCGGUUGUGCAAGACCGAUGUGAAAUCCCCGAGCUUAACUUGGGAAUUGCAUUGGUGACUGCACGGCUAGAGUGUGUCAGAGGGGGGUAGAAUUCCACGUGUAGCAGUGAAAUGCGUAGAGAUGUGGAGGAAUACCGAUGGCGAAGGCAGCCCCCUGGGAUAACACUGACGCUCAUGCACGAAAGCGUGGGGAGCAAACAGGAUUAGAUACCCUGGUAGUCCACGCCCUAAACGAUGUCAACUAGUUGUUGGGGAUUCAUUUCCUUAGUAACGUAGCUAACGCGUGAAGUUGACCGCCUGGGGAGUACGGUCGCAAGAUUAAAACUCAAAGGAAUUGGCGGGGACCCGCACAAGCGGUGGAUGAUGUGGAUUAAUUCGAUGCAACGCGAAAAACCUUACCUACCCUUGUCAUGCCACUAAUGAAGCAGAGAUGCAUUACGUGCUCGAACGAGAAACUGGACACAGGUGCUGCAUGGCUGUCGUCAGCUCGUGUCGUGAGAGGUUGGGUUAAGUCCCGCAACGAGCGCAACCCUUGUCUCUAGUUGCUACGAAAGGGCACUCUAGAGAGACUGCCGGUGACAAACCGGAGGAAGGUGGGGAUGACGUCAAGUCCUCAUGGCCCUUAUGGGUAGGGCUUCACACGUCAUACAAUGGUGCAUACAGAGGGUAGCCAAGCCGCGAGGCGGAGCUAAUCCCAGAAAAUGCAUCGUAGUCCGGAUCGUAGUCUGCAACUCGACUACGUGAAGCUGGAAUCGCUAGUAAUCGCGGAUCAGCAUGCCGCG
rnacentral:rRNA from 1 species